GUUGAAAUCCCGGUUCUCGUCCGUUCACCGAAGUUAAACAACGUUGAGCAUGGUCAGCAUUAGACGGGUGACCAUUCGGGAAUGCGAGGUGUUGCCA